rnacentral:rRNA from 1 species
AUUGAACGCUGGCGGCAUGCCUAACACAUGCAAGUCGAACGAGUGGCAGACGGGUGAGUAAUGUCUGGGAGACUCCCUUAUGGCUGGGGAUAACUACUGGAAACGGUAGCUAAUCCCGCAUACCAUCGGAUGUUCCCAGAUGGGAUUCGCUAGUAGGUGGGGUAAAGGCUAACCUAGGCGACGAUCCCUAGCUGGUCUGAGAGGAUGACCAGCCACACUGGAACUGAGACACGGUCCAGACUCCUACGGGAGGCAGCAGUGGGGAAUAUUGCACAAUGGGCGCAAGCCUGAUGCAGCCACGCCGCGUGUAUGAAGAAGGUCUUCGGGUUGUAAAGUACUUUCAGCAGGGAGGCGUUACCCGCAGAAGAAGCACCGGCUAACUCCGUGCCAGCAGCCGCGGUAAUUC